rnacentral:rRNA from 1 species
UGGUGGAGUGAUUUGUCUGGUUAAUUCCGUUAACGAACGAGACCUCAGCCUAUUAAUUAGUUUGCCCAAUUCUUUAUUGGCGUAAACAUCUUAGAGGGACUAUCGGUUCUUAUCCGGAGGAAGUAUGAGGCAAUAACA